rnacentral:lncRNA from 1 species
GUAAGCGGCCUCUUUUUACUCUCUUCUCCAACCUCCCUCACUAUCCUUCAACCUCUUUCUCCUUUCAUUCUUGGCACCACACUUCAAUCUCUCCCUUCUCUUAAUUUCAAUUCCUUUCGUUUUCUGGUAGAGACAAAGGAGACACGUUUCAUCUGUGGACCCGAAACUCUGGCACCAGUCACGGACUGGGAAGGCAGUCUUCCCUUGGUGUUUAAUCAUUGCAGGGGCACCUCUCUGAUUAUUCACCCACGUUUCAAGGGUGUCAGACCACGCAGGGAUGCCUGCCUUGGUCCUUCACCCUUAGCAGCAAGUCCCACUUUUCUAGGGAAGGGGCAAGUACCCCAACCCCUUCUCUCCUUGUCUCUACCCCUUCUCUGCUUUUCUGGGGAAGGGGCAAGUACCCCAACCCCUUCUCUCCUUGUCUCUACUCCUUCUCUGCUUUUCUGGGGAAGGGGGAAGUACCCCAACCUCUUCUCUCCUUGUCUCUACCCCUUCUCUGCUUUUCUGGGGAAGGGGCAAGUACCCCAACCCCUUCUCUCCUUUUCUCUACCCCUUCUCUGCUUUUCUAGGGGAGGGGCAAGUACCCCUCAACCCCUUCUCCUUCACCCUUAGCAGCAAGUCCCGCUUUUCUAGGGGGGCAAGAACCCCCAAUCCCUUAUUUCCACACCCCGACCUCUUAUCUCUGUGCCCCAAUCCCUUAUUUCCACACCCUGACCUCUUAUCUCUGUGCCCCAAUCCCUUAUUUCUGCACCCCAACCUCUUAUCUCUGUGCCCCAAUUCCUUAUUUCCAUGCCCCAACCCUUUCUCUGCUUUUCUGGAGGGCAAGAAACCCCUACCCCUUCUCCAUGUCUCUACUCUUUUCUCUGGGCUUGCCUCCUUCACUAUGGGCAAGCUUCCACCUUCCAUUCCUCUUUCUUCUCCCUUAGCCUAUAUUCUUAAGAACUUAAAACCUCUUCAACUCUCUCCUGACCUAAAAUCUAAGCAUCUCAUUUUCAUCUGCAAUGCCGCUUGACCCCAAUACAAACUCGACGGUAGUUCCAAAUAGUCGGAAAAUGGCACUUUCAAUUUUUCCAUCCUACAAGAUCUAAAUAAUUCUUGUCGUAAAAUGGGCAAAUGGUCUGAGAUGCCUGACGUCCAGGCAUUCUUUUACACAUCAGUCCCUUCCUAGUCUCUGUGCCCAGUGCAACUCAUCCCAAAUCUUCCUUCUUUCCCUCCCACCUGUCCCCUCAGUCCCAACCCCAAGCAUCGCUGAGUCUUUCUAAUCUUCCUUUUCUACAGACCCAUCUGAUCUCUCCCCUCCUCACCAGGCCAAGCUAGGUCCCAAUUCUUCCUCAGCCUCUGCUCCUCCACCCUAUAAUCUUUUUAUCACCUCCCCUCCUCACACCUGGUCCGGCUUACAGUUUCGUUCUGUGACUAGCCCUCCCCCACCUGCCCCAGCAAUUUACUCUUAAAAAGUGGCUGGAGCCAAAGGCAUAGUCAAGGUUAAUGCUCCUUUUUCUUUAUCCCAAAUCAGAUAGCGUUUAGGCUCUUUUUCAUCAAAUAUAAAAACCCAGCCCAGUUCAUGGCUCAUUUGGCAGCAACCCUGAGACACUUUACAGCCCUAGCCCCUAAAAGGUCAAAAGGCCGUCUUAUUCUCAAUAUACAUUUUAUUACCCAAUCUGCUCCCGACAUUAAAUAAAACCCCAAAAAUUAGAAUCUGGCCUUCAAACCCCACAACAGGACUUAAGUAACCUCACCUUCAAGGUGUACAAUAAUAAAAAAAAAGUUGCAAUUCCUUGCCUCCACUGUAGACAAACCCCAGCCACAUCUCCAGCACACAAGAACUUCCAAACGCCUGAACCACAGCGGCCAGGCAUUCCUCCAGAACCUCCUCCCCCAGGAACUUGCCACAAGUGCCAGAAAUCUGACCACCAGGCCAAGGAAUGCCCACAGCCCAGGAUUCCUCCUAAGCCGUGUCCCAUCUGUGCGGGACACCACUGGAAAUCGGACUGUUCAACUCACCUGGCAGCCACUCCCAGAGCCCCUGGAACUCUGGCCCAAGGCUCUCUGACUGACUCCUUCUUGGCUUAGCGGCUGAAGACUGAUGCUGCCUGAUCGCCUCAGAAGCCCUGUAGACCAUCACAGACGCCGAGCUUUAGGUCCCACUGAAGCUGAAUGACUGUGCAGGUUGAUACACUGGACAUUUUCGGUGAAACCUGUGUGAACAGACAACUGGAGGGUCAGAUGAUUUAUCCUCUCCCCAGUACCUUGGCACAAGCCUAGGCUACAGAAUGAGAUGCACGUAAGAAGUCUGUGACCUGGACCAGAGCAGCCCAGCUGAACACAUGCUGGAUUGGAAGAACCACCUUUGACCUGAAGACCUGUGAGUGAGAAUAAAUGCUGUUUGAGAAAGGAGUUUGGAGACAGAAAGACGGAAGAGUUGAUAUUCCGCUCACAGAUGUCAAUUUUCAAAGAAAUUUCUGCCCAUUAUGGAUGCACCACAAAUACUAAAGUCUAUGCAAUAUAUAUUUUGAAAAGAAUUUUUUUCGUGAAACUGUAAUUUUCGUUCAUAAGAGUAUAUUUCCUGACUUAGCAUUUUAUUGACUAGAUUAAAAUUUUGUUCCCCAAAGUAAGUGUGUGUGUGUGUGUGUGUGUGUGUGUGCACGCACACGUGUGUGUGCAUUCCUGAGGAUUAUUCUAAGGCUGAACUCCUUCAUAGAAAUGGAAUUUUUCUCUCUAUGCUCACAUUUUAAAACAGCUCACACAAGCCAGGCAGAAACUGCCAACCCCUUGGUUUCUAAUUCUUUGUGCUAGUUCUAUUAGAAGGGGCAAGUGUAAUCUGACAAUGGGAAACAAUACACCCUUUCUCAUAUUCUUUAUCAACAUACAUAAACUGGAAGAAAGAAAAAGAAAGAGAGGGGUACAGAGGGAGGAAAGGAGGAAGAAAAAAGAUAGGAGGGGAAGUAGGAAGAGAGGAGAAGGGGACUGUAGUGGGGGAAAGAGAGGAGAGACAGAAUCUUUCCACUAAAGUUAGCAUCUGAGAGAGAGGCCCACGGAAUUGAUUUUUUUUUUUUUAUCCCUUUGGCAAACCAGCAUUUGGUCUUUGCUUUGGUUAUCCUGAGAUAGUGCUUUGUUUACCUGAGCUAGCUGGCCAUCUCAGCUGUGACAAUUUAAAAUUAGGCCACUAUUUAUAAUUCAAGCUAUGUGUAAACAAAACAAAACACAAUACAACCAAUGAAGGAGGUUUGUUUGUUUGUUUUUUUAAAAGGUAGGGGCAUUUUGUAAAUCAGACAGAGAUAGCUUUCUUGAAUAAAAUGACAUUUUUAGUUAUUUCUUUGUCUUGAACUUUCUCCUGAGACACCUUCUGGCUCACUAGUCACGAGGAACUGAAGAGGAACUGAAGGAAUUCUAAACAUCCCCAAAGCCUCUAGUGAUUCUCCAGAUGUGUCUUUUCAAGAGGCUGGCGACUUGUAGGGAGGGUGGAUAUACCUUAAUUAUUCAGUCACUUUUAACGUUUUACCUAAACUAUUUGUCAAAUAAGUAGUUUUUGCAUUGCUUUAACUGUAUACAGCCAUCAUUUGAUUAUACAUUCUAUCAAAGAUUGAUUGCCUGAUUUCAGGUUUAAUUUUAAGAUUUAAAUGACUGACUCCUUAGCUUGCUCAGUUGUAUUCUUUGUCUCUGAUUACUUACUCCAUAGAACACUGCUUACCUUUAAAUAAAAUGUAUUAAACUCCUUUGUUUUCAGAAUCUCUAAUAUUCAUGCCUAUUGGGGAUUCAUACCCUAAUAACUUGGGCUACUAGUCUGUCAUAAAAUAUAAACUCCAGCCAUAUUAAAUAUGGUAGACUUGCCCUAAAAGUCAGAUUUAUACCUUCAAUAUACCAUGGAAUUUGUAAUACAAAUAAAUUCCUUUUUUUAUAUUGGUUUUAAAAUAAGAAAUUGUAGUCUCUUGAGUUCUAGAGUUUCUGUAAGAACAACAGAAGGAAUGCUCAGCUAAUGUUUAGUACCCAUAUGCUUCAUUAAAGUGACCAGAUGUCCUGCAUUUGUCAAGGGAAAAGGGGAAUUGUUUUCUUCUCUCUCAAAUAUCUCCUUCAAAAAGUCUAUCAUGGAUACAUUUUGUGCCUUCACUGCCCUUUUUAAAUAAUUAUUAUUCAUGCCUUACUAUAAGAACAUUACAACUGGUAACAAACUGCUUUUAAACUUGGGGUUUCAGAUUUUCUAAAG